rnacentral:rRNA from 1 species
AACGCUGGCGGCAUGCCUAACACAUGCAAGUCGAACGAGACCUUCGGGUCUAGUGGCGCACGGGUGCGUAACGCGUGGGAACCUGCCUUUAGGUUCGGAAUAACAGUGAGAAAUUACUGCUAAUACCGGAUGAUGUCUUCGGACCAAAGAUUUAUCGCCUUUAGAUGGGCCCGCGUUGGAUUAGCUAGUUGGUGGGGUAAAGGCCUACCAAGGCGACGAUCCAUAGCUGGUCUGAGAGGAUGAUCAGCCACACUGGGACUGAGACACGGCCCAGACUCCUACGGGAGGCAGCAGUGGGGAAUAUUGGACAAUGGGCGAAAGCCUGAUCCAGCAAUGCCGCGUGAGUGAUGAAGGCCUUAGGGUUGUAAAGCUCUUUUACCCGAGAUGAUAAUGACAGUAUCGGGAGAAUAAGCUCCGGCUAACUCCGUG